AGGAAGUAAAAGUCGUAACAAGGUUAUCCUUCCGAUAGGGUCCCCCCUAUUGAAGCCUUUCGCAGCGACUCAUAAAGAAAUGCGCAGCCUACCGAAUCGGUAUGGCAACGCCACGCAAAUGCUAAGAUUCGUUCAGCGAAUAUCAGCAGCCUAAACCCUAGGUUCACAGAUCAAAUAGUGGUGGUCGAUCGCCUCGCGGUGAUCGAUUAAGAUAUGACCGGUCUUAACUAGAAUUAGUUAAGGAAUCACGUUCCGUAGGUGAACCUGCGGAAGGAUCAUUAAUGGGAUUGGUCUCUAAGACCUAACCUUCAACCCUUUGUUUUAACAACCCUUGUUUCUUUGGCGGGUUCGCCCGUCAGAAGAAUUCUCAAACUCAUAUAAACCAUGUCUUCUGAAAUCAAAAACAAAUAAAAUUAAAACUUUCAACAACGGAUCUCUUGGUUCUGGCAUCGAUGAAGAACGCAGCGAAAUGCGAUAAGUAAUGUGAAUUGCAGAAUUCAGUGAAUCAUCGAAUCUUUGAACGCACAUUGCGCCCUUUGGUAUUCCGAAGGGCAUGCCUGUUCGAGCGUCAUUACACCCCUCAAAUAUCACUAUUUGAUGUUGGGUACUGCCGGAAGGCAUACCUAAAAAUUAGCGACGGUUACAAUCAACCUCAGGCGUACAAACAUCGCUAUGGUGGGAGGUUGGAGCCUAGUCUUUAACUAAAAAUUAUCAUAGCAUGUCGACCUAGCGGCAGGAAC
rnacentral:misc_RNA from 1 species